GGGGCUUGGAGUCCACUGCUGGCGGAGCGGUUCUGUUCCGGCGCGCGAGCCGCCGGGGGCAGCUGGGCCGGGUUCCGGUGUUCGUCACAGCAGGUGGCCAGCUUAAGGUACGUUGAUCAAUAAGAGAAAUGAAGGUGUCUCAAGGCCGCCCAGAGUCCAAAUGAGGACGGUGACCCUGGCACACUGGCAAAGAGAUGGACAUUCCCCAAGAAAAAAGCAAUUACAUUAAAAAUGCUGGACUGUCCUAACUAUUGGUAGAACAGUCGGUUUAAAGAGCUUCAACUCUGAAUGAUCUGUCCCAACUCUUUUAUGCAGAUUUGUCUGAGGCUGCACUUUAACUUUCCCAUCAGUACUGUCAGGAACCUAAUCUGAGAGCAGAAGGAGACCCUGAUAAGAGACUAGUUGGAGGUACUAAUGGCAGAAAGGUCCAUAGGGUUGGGAAUGUCUGGCUUUUGUCCAAAGAUGAAUGCUUGUGAAACGGAUAUUAACUUUCCUUGCAAUAAUGUUCAAAUCAGUACUGAGUGAUAAGAUUUUAUUGGCAAAUUCACUGUGACCUAGGUCAGUGUUUCUCACACCUAGCUAAAAUUAUCUGGCAUGCCUUUGUUUUCCCUGAUCCAUGGUUAUAUUAAUACAGAACUUUUAAUCUGUCUCUUCCGAUAGAGGCUUUUCAGAACAGUGAUAGCAGACAUACCAUUUGAGCAAUCCAGCGUACUCAGUUUCUUUAAACUUUCCCCAAUCAGUCUCUCAGUGAGACGCUCCCAACAGUUCUCUAGUAAACACAGGGUUAAUGUGUGUCCCAGAAAGAGAGCAUGUUUUAUGUGAUCUGAGUGGAUGGAGCACAGGAAUUGGAGUAUGGAAUGCCUGUGUUCUAAUCUUAGUUCUGCCACUUAAUUGCUGUACUGGCCUUCUGCCUUAGUUUCCCAGUCUGUAGAAUGGGGAUAAAUCUUCCCUACCUCACAGGUGUGAUCUGAGGAGUAAUAUUUGUGCCAUGCCUUCAAGGUGUAAUGUGCUAUAUAACGUCUAAUUAUUGUUAUAGGUCAGUCUUUUAAAAAUAACUUAAAUAUGAAUUUAGGAGCCCAGUUUUAGGCUCCUAUUUGUUUGAAAAUCCUAGCCACAAUUUAAUAAUUCACCGUAGAAAUGAGCAGUUUCAGUUGAAUAGCCAGUGCAGCAAAUGUAAACUACAGUUGCCCCUACACAGAUAUGAAUCAAACAAAAUCUUGUCUCAGUUUGAAAUGUUUACAUGUGAAAGAUCAGUUAACUUGAAUCCAGGAAUUUGAGAGUUGGUAGAGGGGCUCUCUGACCAACUGAGGCUGAUUUUUUUUUUUUUUCUUUCCAAAUCUUGGAGCACUGAGGAAGUUCCUGGGGACCAGGGAAAAAAGGCUAAUGUUCUACCAGCAUGUGAAAAGAGUAAACAGGAGGACUCUGGUACCUAUAGGCUGGUUAGCUUGAUGCAAAAUCAUGGAAAGGUUGAUAGGGGAUGCAAUCAGUAAAUAAUUAAAGGAUGGUGGCAUAAUACCAAA